CCUACGGGAGGCUGCAGUGAGGAAUAUUGGUCAAUGGGCGGAAGCCUGAACCAGCCAAGUAGCGUGCAGGAUGACGGCCCUACGGGUUGUAAACUGCUUUUAUACGGGAAUAACGCGCCUUACGUGUAGGGCUUUGCAUGUACCGGAUGAAUAAGGACCGGCUAAUUCCGUGCCAGCAGCCGCGGUAAUACGGAAGGUCCGGGCGUUAUCCGGAUUUAUUGGGUUUAAAGGGAGCGUAGGCCGCAUGUCAAGCCUGCUGUGAAAGGUCCGGGCUCAACCCGGGCCUUGCAGCGGAAACUGGCGUGCUUGAGUCCGCGGAAAGUAGGCGGAAUUCGUCGUGUAGCGGUGAAAUGCUUAGAUAUGGCGAAGAACUCCGAUUGCGAAGGCAGCUUGCUGCAGCGGCACUGACGCUGAUGCUCGAAAGCGUGGGUAUCGAACAGGAUUAGAUACCCUAGUAGUC
rnacentral:rRNA from 1 species